rnacentral:rRNA from 1 species
GAUGAACGCUGGCGGCGUGCCUAAUACAUGCAAGUCGAGCGAACAGACGAGGAGCUUGCUCCUCUGACGUUAGCGGCGGACGGGUGAGUAACACGUGGAUAACCUACCUAUAAGACUGGGAUAACUUCGGGAAACCGGAGCUAAUACCGGAUAAUAUAUUGAACCGCAUGGUUCAAUAGUGAAAGACGGUUUUGCUGUCACUUGUAGAUGGAUCCGCGCCGCAUUAGCUAGUUGGUAAGGUAGCGGCUUACCAAGGCUUCGAUGCGUAGCCGACCUGAGGGGGUGAGCGGCCACAUGGGGAAUGAGAGACGGACGAGACGCGUACGGGAGGGAGCAGUGGGGAAUAUUGCACAAUGGGCGGAAGGGUGAUGAAGCAACGCCGCGAGCGGGAUGACGGCCUUCGGGUUGUAAACCGCUUUCGCCGGUGACGAAGCGUGAGUGACGGUAAUGGGUAAAGAAGCAACGGCUAACUACGUG